CAAAUGGAAUUGCAGGGAUUUACUAAACAGAAACAUCAGGAAUAUUUAUUUCUUCUUGGCCACACCUUUUCUCAGCCCGCACUUUCUUCCCACAGUGAGAACACGUGUACAUGUUGUCACCUUCCAAGUUUUCAACAGGAUGUGUUUAGCCAGAGAAAAGAAUGUGCAGCAUAAAGCAAUUCUUUAGAACCCAUCCCCAUUCCACUGCCUUGCACACUGGGAAUGCAGGACUCACUCACUCUGAUCUCUUUUAAGGAUGUACAGCAAGACAGCACCUCCUGUAAAUAUUGCCUUUUUUAGAAAAAAGUCUUUCUUCAAGAUUUAAAUAAUGAGUCACUACCUGAAGCUUCAAGAGCUACUAAAUACACAUCAGAGUAAACUGGGAGAUGGAAAACAUCCAAGAGCUGCUCACAGCAGUCCAUCAGAGCUUAAGAAAAAAUGUCUGAAGACACAAAUUAAAAGCAAUAAACGUUGAUAAGAAUGCCAG